GACGAACGCUGGCGGCGUGCUUAACACAUGCAAGUCGAACGGAAAGGCCCUGCUUGCAGGGUACUCGAGUGGCGAACGGGUGAGUAACACGUGGGUGAUCUGCCCUGCACUUCGGGAUAAGCCUGGGAAACUGGGUCUAAUACCGGAUAGGAGCCAUCUUUAGUGUGAUGGUUGGAAAGUUUUUUCGGUGUAGGAUGAGCUCGCGGCCUAUCAGCUUGUUGGUGGGGUAAUGGCCUACCAAGGCGGCGACGGGUAGCCGGCCUGAGAGGGUGGACGGCCACAUUGGGACUGAGAUACGGCCCAGACUCCUACGGGAGGCAGCAGUGGGGAAUAUUGCACAAUGGGCGCAAGCCUGAUGCAGCGACGCCGCGUGGGGGAUGACGGCCUUCGGGUUGUAAACUCCUUUCGCUAGGGACGAAGCUUUUUGUGACGGUAUCUAGAUAAGAAGCACCGGCUAACUACGUG
rnacentral:rRNA from 1 species